rnacentral:rRNA from 1 species
GACGAACGCUGGCGGCGUGCUUAACACAUGCAAGUCGAACGGAAAGGCCCUGCUUUUGUGGGGUGCUCGAGUGGCGAACGGGUGAGAAACACGUGAGUAACCUGCCCUUGACUUUGGGAUAACUUCAGGAAACUGGGGCUAAUACCGGAUAGGAGCUCCUGCGGCAUGGUGUGGGCUGGAAAGUUUCGGCGGUUGGGGAUGGACUCGCGGCUUAUCAGCUUGUUGGUGGGGUAGUGGCUUACCAAGGCUUUGACGGGUAGCCGGCCUGAGAGGGUGACCGGCCACAUUGGGACUGAGAUACGGCCCAGACUCCUACGGGAGGCAGCGGUGGGGGAUAUGGCACAAUGGGCGGAAGCCUGAUGCAGCAACGCCGCGUGCGGGAUGACGGCCUUCGGGUUGUAAACCGCUUUCGCCUGUGACGAAGCGUGAGUGACGGUAAUGGGUAAAGAAGCACCGGCUUACUACGUG